rnacentral:rRNA from 1 species
UUGCACGCUGGCGGCAUGCCUUACCCCUGCCAGUCGAACGGUAACAGGUCUUCGGAUGCUGACGAGUGGCGAACGGGUGAGUAAUACAUCGGAACGUGCCCAGACGUGGGGGAUAACGAGGCGAAAGCUUUGCUAAUACCGCAUACGAUCUAAGGAUGAAAGCAGGGGACCGCAAGGCCUUGCGCGUUUGGAGCGGCCGAUGGCAGAUUAGGUAGUUGGUGGGAUAAAAGCUUACCAAGCCGACGAUCUGUAGCUGGUCUGAGAGGACGACCAGCCACACUGGGACUGAGACACGGCCCAGACUCCUACGGGAGGCAGCAGUGGGGAAUUUUGGACAAUGGGCGAAAGCCUGAUCCAGCAAUGCCGCGUGCAGGAUGAAGGCCUUCGGGUUGUAAACUGCUUUUGUACGGAACGAAAAGGCUCUGGCUAAUACCUGGGGCACAUGACGGUACCGUAAGAAUAAGCACCGGCUAACUACGUG